GAAACACAGGCAGAGUACAGACAACAAGUCACGAACCAAAGAUUAUCGACAUAGCAGCAAGGAUAGAUUGGAAAAGCUAAAGGUCUCUUUGGAGCACGUCGAGAAGUCGAGGAGGAGCGUAGAUUGCCUCGAUAAGUCUAGGAAGAACACUGAACAGAUGGAUAAAGCUCGCAAGAGUGUCGAUAGGUUGGACAGAAUAUGGUCAGGGUAAACAUCUUUUAUG
rnacentral:misc_RNA from 1 species